rfam:Microbacterium sp. TS-1 DNA, contig: MspTS1nb01.
GGGGCUGUAGUUCAAUGGCAGAACAUCUGCUUCCCAAGCAGAUAGCGCGGGUUCGAUUCCCGUCAGCCCCU